rnacentral:rRNA from 1 species
CCUACGGGAGGCAGCAGUGGGGAAUAUUGCACAAUGGGCGCAAGCCUGAUGCAGCCAUGCCGCGUGUGUGAAGAAGGCCUUCGGGUUGUAAAGCACUUUCAGUCAGGAGGAAAGGUUAGUAGUUAAUACCUGCUAGCUGUGACGUUACUGACAGAAGAAGCACCGGCUAACUCCGUGCCAGCAGCCGCGGUAAUACGGAGGGUGCGAGCGUUAAUCGGAAUUACUGGGCGUAAAGCGUACGCAGGCGGUUUGUUAAGCGAGAUGUGAAAGCCCCGGGCUCAACCUGGGAACUGCAUUUCGAACUGGCAAACUAGAGUGUGAUAGAGGGUGGUAGAAUUUCAGGUGUAGCGGUGAAAUGCGUAGAGAUCUGAAGGAAUACCGAUGGCGAAGGCAGCCACCUGGGUCAACACUGACGCUCAUGUACGAAAGCGUGGGGAGCAAACAGGAUUAGAUACCCUGGUAGUCCACGCCGUAAACGAUGUCUACUAGAAGCUCGGAGCCUCGGCUCUGUUUUUCAAAGCUAACGCAUUAAGUAGACCGCCUGGGGAGUACGGCCGCAAGGUUAAAACUCAAAUGAAUUGACGG